rnacentral:lncRNA from 1 species
GGUGAAAAGUACCAUUUGCUUGCUGUUCCUAUGUAAAAAUAUUAAGGUAGCAGCAGUCUUGAACUGUUAACUUUGUCACUGAGGAAUUGUGUGCUGUAACUGACUUAAUUAGCUGAAUUUCUCUGAAAACAGUCAAUUUUAAGCCAUACCAAGAAUUUUCUGAUUUUAGCUGCCACUUAUCUCAUAGUGCAAAGUUAGGAAUAACUUACUAUCUAAUCUGAGAGAGAGGACUGAAAUGUUCAUGUCAAGGAACAUAAUCUGCUUAAUGAAAUAUCCAAGAAGGAGCUCAGAAAAAUAUUGACUUAGAAGGUUUAUUCUUCAGUCCAAGGAAGCAAUUCACAGUCAGCUGUUAGAGAAGCAGAAAAUAGCAGAAGAAAAAAUUAAAGAACUAGAACAGAAAAAGUCCUACCUGGAGCGAAGCGUUAAGGAAGCUGAGGACAACAUCCGGGAGAUGCUGAUGGCACGAAGGGCCCAGUAGGGAGCCUCUCUGGGAAGCUCUUCCUCCUGCCCCUCCCAUUCCUGGUGGGGGCAGAGGAGUGUCUGCAGGGAAACAGCUUCUCCUCUGCCCCGAUGGAUGCUUUAUUUGGAUGGCCUGGCAACAUCACAUUUUCUGCAUCACCCUGAGCCCCAUUUGCUUCCCAGCCCUGGAGUUUUUACCCGGCUUUGCCUGCCACCUCUGCCCAGGACACUCUUCCCUCUCGGGAUGUGUGAUGAACUCCCAGGAGAGGGAAGAUGGGAGCCAGGGCAAGAUAGGAAGCUCUGCCUGAGCUUUCCACUAGGCACGCCAGCCAGACCAAUAAAAAGCGUCUGUCCCACUCUGCUAAGCCUGGUUUUCUUGAGCAGAGGGAUGGAACAGAGGGUGAGAGAGGCAGUGGCCGUCUCCACCUCAGCUCCUGCUCC